GCCUUUUCUCCCCCUGCCCCCCCCACUGUAGCCUUUUCUCCCCCUGCUUGCCCAUCCCUUCUCCCCCUGCCCGCCCACUGUAACCCUUUCUCACCUUGCCCUCCCACACUUACCAGCACACACACUCCCUCCCACACUGUCACCCUCACCUCUUGUCUCUGCGUGUAUGUGUAUCUGUCAUUUUGUGUCUGUGUGCAUUUGUGUGUCAGUGUGUAUCUGUGGGGACAAGACAAGGAUGCCCACUCUCCCCCAUGCUCUUCGGCCUGGCUCUCGAACCGUUCCUAGAAGCGGCGCGCGCAUCGGAUACAAUCCAGGGCUUCAAAAGCGGGGAUACAACACACAAAGUAGCAGCAUACGCAGAUGACCUCUUAUUUUUUUAUCACGGAACCGGAGGCAACAAUGCCCCACUUAGUCACUAUGAUCACGGACUACGGGGAGGUCUCAGGAUUCAAAUUGAACAUGAAUAAAUGUGAAGUACUUAACAUUACCACUCCAACGGCCCAAACAUCCGCACUGAAGAACCAAUUUCCGUUUAGAUGGUGCGCAAACCACAUGCGGUAUCUAGGUAUCGCAAUAACCAGAGACCUAGGCGACAUGUAUCGUACGAAACUUCCUACCACUACUACAACAAAUCCAACAAGAUUUGAAAACGUGGACAUAUCCACACAUCUCGUGGUUAGGCCGGAUCGCAAUACUUAAGAUGAAUAUUCUACCACGGCUGUUAUAUUUAUACCAGACGAUUCCGCAAGCUCUACCGACGGCAUAUUUCGCGUCACUGCGUUCCGCGAUGGUGAAGUUCGUCUGGAAUGGGAAACAGGCAAGACUCCGACAGGAAGUCCUCUGCCUAUCUCGAGCAUGGGGGGGAUUGGCACUCCCUGACCUCCGCAAAUACCACCAGUGUGUAUCUGUGUACAUGAGUGUCUGUGUAUCUGUGUGUGGGAAACUAGGUGUCUUUGUGUAUCUGUGUGUAUUGCUGUGUCAAUGUCUGUCUCUGUAUGUGUGUGUAUGUGUAUACACUUCACACAUACUCCACACAAAAAAUAUGCUUACAUUCGAACACACAUUGUGUAUAUGUAUAUUUUAUAAACACAAUAUACACACAGUGCAUCCACUACACACACUGCAUCCACACGCAAACAUUACAUACAAACAAACCCCUACAUUAAAACAUUAAAAUUAUCUACAAACACCCCUUCAUUCAAGCACCAACACUACACACAAAAUGCACACCUGCAUUUAAAGUCCAACACUAGAUACAAACACCCAAGCAUUCAGACGCAAACAUUACAAACAAGUACACCACUACAUUCCAAUGGCAACAGUACAUAGAAAUACACCCAUACAUGCACACAUAUACUUAAUACAAAAACAUACUUACAUUCAAACGCUCAAACACUGCUCACAAACGUAACCCAGCAAUGAUGCGAAAAUGGUAGAUCCCCAUCUGGUAUAGCAUUGUUAUAGUUCUCCGACAGAUGGAGAUUUACCUUUUGGCCACACUUGCACUAGAGGGGGGCCCAGAAAACAUAUUAUAAAUAAUAAAUAAUAUAAUAAACGUGAGGUGCCUGGAUGAAAGAGCAGGACACAGCACUUCUGAUUCUGAGUCUGUGAGUAAGCAGUUGUAUGUCUCUAAAACUGAUUGCCAUGGUGUGCCAAUUUUAUGCGUCUGUUUGCCAUGGUGUGCCAAUUGUAUGUCUCUGAAGCUGAUUGUCAUGAUGUGCCAAUUUUAUGCCCCUAAAACUGAUUGCCACGGUGUGCCAAUUGUAUGCAUCUAAAGCGGAUUGCUAUAGUGUGCCAAUUUUAUGCAUCUAAAGCUGCCAUGAUGUUCCAAUUGUAUGCCUGUAAAGCUGAUUGCCAUGGUGUGCCAAUUGUAUGCAUCUAAAGCAGAUUUCCAUGGUGUGCCAAUCUAAUUCCUCUAAAGCUGAUUGCUACGGUUUGCCAAUUGUAUGCAUCUAAAGCAGAUUGCUAUAGUGUGCCAAUUGUAUGCUAUGCCAUCAGGCAACAUCAACAGACAAAAUGCCUCUAAAGCUGAUUGCUACGGUUUGCCAAGUAUGCAUCAGGAACACAACAGACAAACAGGAAAGCUUAAAUUGUAUAUGCUAAGUCUAACCACUGUCUAAACCUCCUCUCAACAUAAAACUAAAAAAACUGUGCUGUUUACUCAUAUGCCAUGUUUUGAUUAUUAUGCCUGUUACUGUUUACGACUGCUAUCGUGGCUGAGUAAGCCUAUUGUUAUACCAUGCACAACAAAAAAUAAAGAAUUAAAAAAAAAUAUUACAUAAAACACCAACUCUACAGACAAAAACACACCUGCUCCUAAG
rnacentral:lncRNA from 1 species